AAUUUGUUAAAUUGCGUGGACCCUGAGGUCCACGCAAAAAAUAUAUAAGCGAGAUUAAACCGACUGUUAUGGGGAAAAUUCAGUCUGCGAAUGAGCUAGUCUGGUUCCUGUGCGUAAUGGGUAGCUCAGGGAACCAGGCUGGCACAGGUUUAUCUGAAUCGGGAUCGUGAUUCCAUGCCAUAUGCACAUAAAUUGCAUUUGGGUUCAGUAAUAAGGAAGAAUACUGCAAGUCCAUGUGUUAGAGGAGCAACAAUAAACUACAGAAGGCAUCGGAACGAAGGAUAAUAUCUAUAAUGCCAAAAAUCAAAACGAUACGUAAGACGUCGAAAAGUGCUCUCGAACAGUCCCGAUAUAUCAACAACAGAUGUCGUCGUAGAAAUGGCUUGUCUCACAAAGAAAACCUACCAUUGACGUUUUGUAGUCCUACGCAACAUUUCUCAACUUUAAAAACGCGGCAAGCUGGUGCUAGUGAAGACAUAGAAUGUUCCCCCAAACUGUUUCCUCAUUUCAUCCAUGUCUGCAACCUGACCACAGAUUUCACGGAUCGGGCUGCUAAAGUCUUCAAAAUCCCGCGGCAUCAAUUCAUCCUUGAAAGGAUGAAAAUUUGUUUUAAGGUUCAGCGGUUAGAUACCUUAAACAAACAGUCGAUGCCCUGCUGUCAAGCAAAUAUGCCAUCCUUUCCAACCAUAUGUGUCUGUAAAGCAGGGCAAAUCAACAUAAGAAACGGAGUUCUUUAUAUCGGAGAAAAGACAUUCAAGAAAACAAAGAACAUGUUAAACGUAAGCAAUUUGGACACCAUUGCAAUACGAUCUGCAAUAACGGACCCUGAAGUUAGAGAAAUCCACGAGGCUUUGACAACACUUUUAGAAACCCCAGUCUGGGAACUUCUUGUAGAAAUCAAACAAAACAUACAAUUGUCAGAUGCAUCUCAUAAGGUGGACAUGCUUUCCAUGGAAUUGGAUGUUCUGCUGAAUACAGUUAAACAUGUUCAUUCCAGAGAUAUGAUUAUCGAUAGGGUUCCUGAAUACCAAGCCUAUUCGGAUAUUCCUAAAGAUGUUAAAGAUUAUUUGCUCAGAAAACGAGAAAUCAAUGGAUUUGGAAUAAUGAACAAUAACGAAUUCCGGAUUUUUGUAAAUCACGAAAACAAAAGAAGACAUCUACGACAAAAUAUGCUGAGAAUGUUCCCAAAUAGUUUCAAAACAAAAUUAAAUUUACAAGUAAAAGUUGGCAAACCUUGUAUUUGCUUUUAUUCUCAACAGGGGGAUAAGAUAUAUACGAGAAGUUCAUCUGAAGAAUCAACUAAUGGAAAUAGUUACGGCACAUUAGGAGGAUUUGUUUCUGAUCAAAACAAUGAUACGCUUUUUUUAACUUGCUCGCAUGUCUGCCAAAAAGGGGAUAUUAUCUUUGCUGGUGACAACAAUUCCGGAAUAAAAAGAAUCGGAGAAUGUGUAUUUGCAAAUAACCUUAUAACAAAACCAACUAUCGAUGUUUUUAUUGAUGUUGCUCUUGUGAAGAUUGAUAGUGAAGUCGUAGACAGUUGCAAUCUAUCAAUGCUUGAUAAUACUUUUCAACAAUCAAACGUCAAGAUUUACUUAGAAAACUUGCAUAACAUUGCCAAAAGAGCCUUUGUUUACAAGAUUGGGGCAUCGACAUCGGUGACCAAGGGAUUGAUUACAUCCCCAGAGUUCCACCUUAAAAUAACUGGAGGAAGAGCUGAACUUUUUUUUGUUUCCGAUAUUGCUGAUAUUCCAUUUGCCGAACAAGGUGACAGUGGAUCUAUUGUUUUCAUGAUCGAAAAUAGCUCUGCUCUCGAUACUAUACACGUUAUCGGAAUGGUUUCUGGUGUGUUCACACCGCGUCAACCAUCUGGAGAAGAUGAGAAGGUAGAUAAAAACAGGAAGACAGAGAAAAAAGACGAUGGGGGAGCCAAAAAGGAGGUGUAGCUGAAUGCUAAUUUCACAAUGGAGACAGAUUUGGUUCUUGAGAUAAGACCAUUUAAUCAGUUCUACUCACGUUGAAGAUAAGUCGCAACUCUUAUCUCAAAUUGUAAAUUCGUUUACUCAAAGACAAGUUAGCAUGAAAUUCCUUCUUCAUACAGUUCUUGUUUUAAUAACCAUCUCUGUAAAAAGAAAUGUUGCUGAAGAGAAACGUCUUCUUUUAAAUGACCCUGAAGCGUUGCUUACUCAGAUCCACGCCUUACAACAAGAAGUGCAACAGCAGAAAUCAGAAAACCAAGUCCUCAGGAAUGAUGUAGACGAUCUUUAGCGUAGAUUUCGGGCAAUGGAGUCCGAAAGUGGAAACCAGGGUUCGGUGUUUAUUAGAUGGGGAAAGCACACUUGUCCUAGCUUAAAUGGUACGGAACAGCUAUAUUCUGGAACGGCAGGUGGAAGUUUUUACACACACAGCGGGGGUGGUGCCAACACAUUAUGUCUUCCUCACCAUCCCGAACCUCUUCCCGACAAUUUCCCACUUGUAUUUGAAGGCAAUAGUACAAAUAGAGUUGGGUAUCUUUAUGGAGGUGAAUAUCAGUUUUCCUUAAAAGACGUUGUUGUUCAAGAUGAUGUACCAUGCUCGGUUUGUCGAGCAAAAAUGGCUACCUCUACAAUGAUGAUUCCCGCCAAAAGAUCGUGUCCUUCUGGUUGGACGAUGCAGUACACCGGACUUUUGACUUCCGAAUGGCAUGGUGGACAAAUGGCUGAAUAUCUCUGUGUUGAUGAGGACCCGGAUUUUGUCGAGAGAUCACGAGUAAAUGAAAAUGGACGACUAUUUUAUCCGGUGGUCACUGUGUGCGGUACACUGCCGUGUCCACCAUACAAAAGUUCAACACUCGUGGCUUGUGUCGUGUGUUCAGCCUAAAUGGGAAAUAAAGUCAACAACAUUUUUACUAUUGUCAAGAAGUGAUUUAUUUACGCCAAGAUCAGGGGCUAGUUUUAAUUAAAUUGUUUGUUUGUU
rnacentral:misc_RNA from 1 species